UCUUCCCCAGAACAGUUAUGAUUACCUCUUAACAUUGCCUCGUGCUUUUCUUUAUUGAAGUGUUUUAUAAUAAAAGGAAAGUAUAGCCAGAACUUCGAUGACUUGCCAACAUGACAAACCAAGCCUGCUAUACAAAAACCACAUGACUUCUACCUCAAUCAAACUACAUAAGUAAGAAGAAUUGCAAUGUCAUCAAACUUUCUAGCCCAACCUUUUAGAGGGGAGGAAAAAGAAGGACAUCAACCCAUAUUAAAGUGGAAAAAUUCUCUAUGGCGUUCAUAGGAAGUUUCAGCUACAAGAAGAGAAAACUGAGAUUCAGUGAAGUUACUUGCCUACGAUCACAAUGACAGUUAAGUAAUGGAACCAGGAUUUAAACCUGGGAUUCAUUGUAUUGCUGAAUAACCUUACCAUGACAUGAUAAAGAUGAAGAAAUGUUUAUGAUAAAUACCCUGCACAAAAGAUGAAUUUAUUCAUUAAGCUACAUAG